GAGAAGAUGGAGUGAAGAACACUUUAUGUAAGUACAUUGAGACAGAUACAUCGUCUGGGAAGAGGGCGUCAUGUCCAUAGCACACCACAUUAGUUUUGUAGGCUGAACGAUUGGGAGAUAGAAAGUUAGAGUUAGAACAUUUGUUAAACGUUUCACUUCAACCUUACAAUUCACGUAAAUCUCACCAUGGCAGAUACUGAGAACGCUCAGAAGGAUCCAAGGCAGCAUGAUCUCUACCGGACACAGGGAAAUAGACAACGUCGUGAAUGAUGCAGGCCCUAACCCUAUUUCCCACAUGACUAUGAGGCUGAACCAAACGAAGGGGUGGACCCCUCUCUACAGUUGUCUAACUGUCAAGACUGCAUGAAGGCUGCCUUCAAUUUGGCUGGGGACAGCAGAUGAAAAUUAGCCUCUCUGACUCACUCUGGCUCACUCUGGCUAACUUACAGUUUUGCUGUUGAUUGGUGUGCAUUGUACCUGCAAAAUAAAAUAAUUUUAUUUUUAUAGAAUGUUUGUACUUGAGUAUUGAAUCACAUGCAAAUUCACAGCGACCGCCAGGGCCCAAAUCCAGACAAGCCGGGUGGUCAUGUCAGUUUGUUGUUAAAACACACACUAAGCCAAAAAAACACAUUUGUCUGUAAAACACAAGUAAUUAACUGGCGGUCUGUUAUCAACCAUUGUAGUUUAAAAUGCACGUAAUUUGAUGUUGAGUUCAACAACCGCAUUAACCCUGAGAGACCCCUUGUUGUAAAAUUACAACGUCACCUUUAGCUCUUUAAUUUCCAAUUUCUUUUUU